rnacentral:tRNA from 1 species
AUUUAAAUAGUGUAAUUAUAACACUUAACAUUUUCAUUGUUAAAAUCUUUUUAGUUUAAAUU